rnacentral:rRNA from 1 species
UACGAAGGGGGCUAGCGUUGCUCGGAAUCACUGGGCGUAAAGGGUGCGUAGGCGGGUCUUUAAGUCAGGGGUGAAAUCCUGGAGCUCAACUCCAGAACUGCCUUUGAUACUGAGGAUCUUGAGUUCGGGAGAGGUGAGUGGAACUGCGAGUGUAGAGGUGAAAUUCGUAGAUAUUCGCAAGAACACCGGUGGCGAAGGCGGCCAACUGGACCAUUACUGACGCUGAGGUGCGAAAGCGUGGGGAGCAAACAGG